UGGCCCCAUCGUCUAGCCCGGUCUAGGACGUCAGGUUCUCAUCCUGAAAACAGGGGUUCGAAUCCCCUUGGGGUCAU
rnacentral:tRNA from 1 species